rnacentral:tRNA from 1 species
GCCUACUUGGUGAAAUUGGUAAACACGAUAGAUUUAAAAUCUAUUCCUUAUAUAUAGGUUAUUGGUUCAAAUCCAAUAGUAGGUA